rnacentral:rRNA from 1 species
UUUAGUCUCUUCGAUAGUCUCUUACUACUAGGAUACCCGUAGUAAUUCUAGAGCUAAUACUUGCGUAAACACUCGACUUUUGGAAGAGUGGUAUUUAUUAGAUUGAAACCAACCUGUUUCGGCAGUGUACUGGUGAUUCACAAUAACUUUGCGAAUCGCAUGGCUUUUGCCGGCGAUAGGUCGUUCGAGAUUCUGCCCUAUCAGCUUUGAUGGUAGUGUAUUGGACUACCAUGGCUUUAACGGGUAACGGAGGAUUAGGGUUUGAUUCCGGAGAGGGAGCCUGAGAGACGGCUACCACA